UCCAGGAGCAGGUGAGCCACUGACUAACGCACAUUGUGCUCUCGGCGACUCCACUGUGCGUGUGACAGCGGCUAACCUGCUCCUCGGACAUCACUGU
rfam:Ficedula albicollis isolate OC2 chromosome 5, whole genome shotgun sequence.